CAGUCGCCGCGGGAAUACGUAGGCAGCGAGCGUUGUUCGGAAUUACUGGGCGUAAAGAGUGUGUAGGCGGUGCUCUAAGUUCGGUGUGAAAUCUCCCGGCUUAACUGGGAGGGUGCGCCGGAAACUGGAAUGCUCGAGCGUGGGAGAGGAAAGCGGAAUUCCUGGUGUAGCGGUGAAAUGCGUAGAUAUCAGGAGGAACACCUGUGGUGUAGACGGCUUUCUGGACCAUAGCUGACGCUGAGACACGAAAGCGUGGGUAGCAAACAGGAUUAGAUACCCCCGUAGUCCCUGUCUCUUAUAC
rnacentral:rRNA from 1 species